CAGGCUCCAGUGUUAGCACAGAGCCUGACGCGAGGCUUGAUCCCGUGAACUGUGAGAUGGUGACCUGAGCUGAAAUCAAGAACUGGAUGUUCAACUGACUGAGCCACCCAGGUGUCCCCUUAGAAUAUAUUAUUAAGUAAGAAAGAGCUAGGUACAGAACAGUGUGCAUAGUAUGCUGUCAUUUGUGAAUCACGAGUACAGGGAGUUGACCCCUCUCCCAGCAAUGGAGAAUCCAGGAGGUGCUCUCCUGGGCACCUUGAGUAGACAGAACACACAAUUCUGGUCCUGCUUUUGCUGGUGAAAUUGCUGGUCCUCCCCUACCUGGGUGAACAGACCUAGAUCCUCAGGGACUCAUGCAGUGCUCACCCUUCUCCCUCACCAUCAGCAUACCUGUGCCCACCUGUAGUGGUGACAGCCAUACUUUUUGAUUUUUUCUAGAUGAAGACUUCUUUCCUCCUGGACGCAGGCCUAAAGAUUGUUGGGAGUUAGCGUUCACACUUACUUUUGUUUUAUUCAUACUCGAUUAGUCUGUGUUGGCAUUUAUAGAAGCCCACUGAAGAAAUAGAGAAAUGACUUUCAGUUCCACAUUUGGAACUGGAAAAUUCAUCUUUAAUCAGAUAAAGAUAACCUGGUAUGUCAUACACCAAGGGUUUUUACAAAGUGGGUAUCAGUGAUCAAUGUAUGAAAUCCCGACAAGCCCAGGCUUGCUUUCAUGUUUCAACUACCUUCUCGAUUGCUAGCAUAAUCUGAGGUUUUGAUUACAGGUAGACUAGCUUUGUAUGGAAAAUUUGUUCUCCAAUCAAAGAUUGAUCAUUUGGCCUUGUCUUGAGGCUUAGCAGAAGAUGAGAAGCAUUCUUUUGGGAGAUAAGUCUCUAUGUGUCUGUAGCAUUUCUGUAUGUCUUGAGAGGCAGUCACUGUGAAUUUGUGCCAAGAUUUGACUACAAGAAUGUUCAUUGCAAAUGUGUUACUAAUCAUGAAACAUGGGCAACAUCCACUAUGGCCAAUCAUGGGAGAUAGAUUAAAUUAUGGUACAGUCGUAUAAUGGAAUGCCUUGCAGCUAUUUAAAAAUGACGAGGUAGAAGAAAAGUUAACAUUCAAAAGUGUUCAUGAUAUAUUAAGGGGAGAAAAGCUGUCUUCAAAAUAAAUCACAAUAGUGAUCUCAUUUCAAAAGUAUUACACACACACACACACACACACACACAGAAUGUCUAAACACCACGGAUUAUUAGCACUUGUUAUAUUUUUGUGAUAUGGGUAAAGUUUUUAUUUUUUAUGAAUAUUUUAUGAAUAUUUUUCUAAAACAAAUAUGAUUGCUUUUGCAAUAAAGCAUCUAAUAAAAGAUGUUUUGAGAAGGAAUAGAUGCAAAAAUGUCUGUGAAUGCCUUUUCUGGUUCAGUUGCAGUGUCUGAUGCAGGAACCCACCUCCAGAACCUGAAUCUCUUUUUGUCCUUCCAGGCCCUUGUGGGUCCUGGCCAGCUGCUGGGGAAACUCUCUGGAUCUCUGCCCUGUUCCUUGCUACUGAUGUCUGGAAAAUGUCUGUGCCAUCCACCUGAGCAGAGACACUUGUAAAAACUUCUAACCUGAAUAUAUCCACCCACCCCCACCUCAAGCAUAUUCCUGGUAUUCCUGUUAAGUGGGAGGAGAAAACAUUUAAGAAAUUUAUUUCAUUUUCAGGUCAUCUAGAUGGCAAGCCCCCUGCCAAUUUCAGGUGGAAUUUGAUUGAAUUCUUUCUGAAAUCUCCAGUAGCUUUUGAGAAAGAACUUUCUUGAGUGUCCAGCUGCAGCUUCCUGGGAGCACAUGGUGCCUGUUUGAGAACCUUGGAGUCCGUUGCUAUGGAAACAAUAAUCAAGUCAGAUUGCCACAGGAGGACCUCUCCUGAGUCCCCAAGAACAUAUUGUUUCCUUCCAUUUGGUUCUGUUUGGUCCAAGUAGACACAGAAACCUUCACUUUCUGGAUAACCUGCUUCCAUGGCCAGACAUUGAUGAAUGGAUGGUCAAAGAGAGCAAAUAAUUCUUAACUCUUUGUGAUGUCCUUCUCAGAAAGGUCAGAUUGUAUUUUGAUGGGUGAAUUCUAAUGAGAAAUAGAGUCUUUGUUUUGCACAAGUUCUUUUAAGAGCUGGCCAACCUUUCCCAUCAAUGGGAUUAAAUUUAUUAUAGCUCCUAAGUAACAAAUAUGUCAGCUGAUGGAUGCUUCUGUAACUUGCAAGCUGCUGGAGCCAGAAUCUGCUAUGGUAUGAUCAGAGUUCACCUUGCAUGCUCAUCAGGCUUUCCUACCGUACUUUCAAGAUAUGAGGAAUGCUGCUGUUUUGAAGGACACCCCCUAGCAGCAUACUUCCUUGCUUAAAUGGGCUUCAGGCAAAACACUUCUCCAUGUGAUGGAUCAGAAGGAUGAGAAUGCUUUUGCUCAUCAGCAUUUUUCUUCAGGCCCAGCCAAGACAGACUGUUGGCCAGUUCAGACAAGCUGAGAAUAAACUCAAGUAUUUAUACGGCUGCAGGGUUAUUGGUAAAAAGUCUUUCUUGGUGUCUUUCAUUACCACAAGCAUUAUACCACAGAAUGUGAGGCUCCCUGUUACAUGUUUGCAGCUUCAGAAUAAGUGGUGAACUCCACAGGAGUGGGUGACCUGUUAGCCUCUGAAGGGUGGAUCAGAGACCUCAACAAUUCAAUUAAUUCAGAAAAGAUUGGUUGAGAACGGGAGGAGCCCAGUGCUUUGCUAAUUCGAUAAAAUGAUUUUCCGUCUUUCUUCUCCAUACACUUUCAAGAACCCAAAUUUUACACUAGUGCACUAGGACACUUGGAAGGGAUCAUUCUCGUACACUCUUUUUUCUCGCUGGAAUCUGGACAUUGUCAAUGCUGAGGGCUCCUUAUUUUGACACCCUUCUGCUGACACAUAAAAAAAAAAAUAACACCAGUAUAUUUAUAAUAUUAUAUUUCUUACUCUAAUUUCUGGUAAGAGUAUCCAUUUCAACAGGUGUUUUGUUUUGUUUUGAGAUUACAACUUACCUGUCCAACAAAUAUGUUGCCAGCGGCAACUACAGAUUCAAUAGGAGAUGAUCCCAUAGUAACUAGCAUUACCCAUCCAACCUGAAAAGAGAUAAGGGACAAAGUCAGUGAAGAGUUGUUUGUAUACACAAAACUUCAAAGUAGGGAUGAAAAUCUUUGGAGGAAAAUGCCUUCAACAAUUGUUGGCAGGCCAGUGAUGGUGCUAAAUGUGAGUAUAUCUUAUCUAGAGUUUACAGAGUAGGCCCAUAAAAUCCUCCUAUUUGAGUGGUAAGUCUGAGUCAUUGUAUUUGCCUUGAAUUUAUACAUUCACUAUAGAAACAAAUCUGUACUGAAACACUGUAUGAGAAUAAUAAAUUUUAAUAAUUGCUUACAUUCUUGACAGGCUUUACUGCAUUCCAAGCACUGUUUUAAGCUCUUGAUCCAUGUAAUGCAUUUAAUUAUCAUAAUACCCCUUUGACGGAGGUCCUAUAAUUAUGGCCAUUUUAUAGAAAAGGAAUCUGAGGCAUAGAACAGUUUAGUUGUUUUGUCUAAGAUCACCCAGCUAAUAAGUAGUGGAAUGAGGUUUGGCCCUUUCUACUUAACUCUCAAAUGAACAUGGUUUAUGGUCCUGCUUCUCUAUUGGCCCUUCCAACUAGAGACUGUGGUGCCCACCUCAGGAUGGAAACUUCCUGUUGCAUUCUCUCCUUCCUUUCUGCUUAGACAUGAGCACAAUAAUGCUGCGUGUUCAGGUCAGCAAUCAGAAAAUCACGGGUCCUGGCACACUCUUGCUGACAUUCUGGAUUCUGCUGGUGUUCUGUUGCUUUCUCUCUCUCUCUCUCUCUCUCUCUCUCUCUCUCUCUCUCUCUCCCUUCUUACCUCCCUCUCUUUUAUUUAUUUACAAGGAUCAAAGGAGGGCAAUGGCUGUGCCCAAAGUCUGUAUGCACUGCCCCGUUUGUGUGUGUGCAUUUGAACUAACUUGCAAAUUUCCUCCUGUUGCAAUUUAACACAAGUGUAGAACUGACGCUGGGGUGGCAGAAAUGAGGUGAAAUUUUCAGGCCUUGUGUGUGUGUGUGUGGGUGUGUGUGUGUGCUUAUAAAACUUCCUCAGAAACAAAAAGUAGCUUCUCUCUUCUUGCUUUGAUCCUGUAGCCACUCCUAGACCAGGAGUCUCCACUUUUGCAACGUCCUGAGGAUAAGCAGGGAUUCUGUGUAAGGCACAGGGUAGACAGCCAGGACGAAGGAAGGAUGCUGUUCUCUCCACAGGUGUCAGCUCUGCUGGAGUCAAUUAUUUGGCUAAAGAAGUAAUUACUGAGGUUUUAUGAAGAUAGCCGGUAACCACUGGCUGCAAGUCAAAGCCCCAUUAGAAAUCCCCAAGAUAAAAUUCCCUCUGUGGCUACAUGUAAGAUUUUUUGGUUUGGGUCUAAUACCUUGGGGUGGAGGGGUGGUGGUGGUGGAUUUUGGCACAAAGAGAAAGGCACUUUGGAAAAUCCUGGAUAAAAGGCAUCUAAGACUUUGUCCCUGAAAGAAGCAGCCAGUCCCUUUAAGACCCAGUACCUUUCUGAUGAUCCACUGCAUCAACCCGAGGUAGUAGAGCAUGGACAUGACCGUGCUGAAGAAAACCACGAUUGGCAGGACCUGGGGGUGAGAUGGGGGUCUGAGAGCAAUCCAGGGUUGAUGUUGCCUCAGUUGUGUUAGUUAAGUUUCAGAUCAGGUCUCUUUUCUGCCUCCCUCUCCCCAACCCUGCCCCACCUGGAAACAUCAUAAAACUACUCGAAACUCCUCUUGAACUUUUGACUAAAUGAACUAAAUGACAUUUGAAUGAACUAAAUGACACAUUUAGUUCACUCCUCUUGAACUAAAUGACACUUUUCUCAGGCAGCUUCCACAUCUACAAUCUUUUAUUUGAAUUUGCUCUGGAUCAGCUUGAGGAUAUUUUAUAGGAAGCAUGACUUUGUUUGUUUGUUUGUUUGUUUGUUUGUUUCUUGGCAAUGAUGAGCUGCUGUUACUUCAGUUUCUCAGAGAAGGAAUGAAGUUCGAUGAGGGGGUAGUUUGUAAUAACUAGAUCCACACACUGAGGGCCACUGGCAGGUAUUCUUGAAGUUCUGAUAUUAAAUAGCCUCAUUAGCAGAGAAUCCUGGUCGAAACAGAGUGUGAGCAGCCUCAGAUCUUUAUUUGUAGAAGUUGCACAGACCAGAUACAGCAUGGUGGGUGCUUACCCAAACUGCCUCCCGUAGGGUAAGCAUUCAUUCACUUAGCUCUGAAGAGAAUAAUUAUUGUACUCAUGGAGUUUUUGAACCGCUAAAAAAUAAACUUUGGAAAUAGUUUAUUGCGUGAUACCACAAGCGUCUUUUUCUGAGCCCUAUUUCCCUGAAGCUCUUUGGGUGCCUUCAAGAUAGCCUGUUUCUACAGUGGGCAGUUUCCACCCUGCAGAGAACACACAGAGCUGUGGGCUGGGUCCCCCCACACUCCUACCCCUCUGUAACCCUUCUCCUCUGUUCCCCAGCUAAAUGGCCAGGGACAUACUGCCACCAGAGGCACAGAAUGACUGAGGACAAUUUGUACAGGAUCUGAUCUAGAAAAAUUUAUUAAUAAUAUAUAUCAAAAGACAUUUUGUGCCAUUAUGCAGAGCUCAGUCACUUCUGUGCUUUUAUUGGCUUUAAUGGGCAAGCAGUGCCUUCCUGAAAGCUUCAGGGAAUUCAAGGAGCUUAUCUCUUGAAUGUUCCCACAGGGAUUCUGCUUUGGCUGGGAGGACAGAGGCCACCUCUGUGGGGGAGAGGGAGGUGGUGGGUGCGUGGGUGGGUAGGUAAAGUCUAAAGACACUGGUGUAGUCUGGGCAUCAAGGUAUGCCUUCCUUGUGACUUUCUUUUUCCAAUUCUGGGUUCAAUUCAUGAUAUGAGCAUAUUUCUGUCUCAGUUUGUAAACACUUGGCCUUUGGGAGAUGGCUUUGUCAUCUUAGCAACCAAAGCGUCAAAUCAGCAUUAAAAAAAAAAACAAAACUCAGCAAU